CGAACGGGUGAGUAAUGCGUGACCAACCUGCCCCAUGCUCCAGAAUAGCUCUUGGAAACGGGUGGUAAUGCUGGAUGCUCCAACUUGACGCAUGUCUUGUUGGGAAAGUGUUUAGUGGCAUGGGAUGGGGUCGCGUCCUAUCAGCUUGUAGGCGGGGUAAUGGCCCACCUAGGCUUCGACGGGUAGCCGGCCUCGAGAGGGCGGACGGCCACAUUGGGACUGAGAGUACGGCCCAGACUCCGUACGGGAGGCAGCAGAC
rnacentral:rRNA from 1 species